GACGUAGGGCGCGAGCGUUGUCCGGAUUUAUUGGGCGUAAAGGGCGCGUAGGCGGCGUGACAAGUCACUUGUGAAAUCUCCGGGCUUAACCCGGAGCGGCCAAGUGAUACUGUCGUGCUAGAGUGCGGAAGGGGCUACUGGAAUUCUCGGUGUAGCGGUGAAAUGCGUAGAUAUCGAGAGGAACACCUGCGGCGAAGGCGGGUAGCUGGGCCGACACUGACGCUGAGGCGCGAAAGCUAGGGGAGCAAACAGG
rnacentral:rRNA from 1 species